CCUUUAACGCAAAGGAUAGCGCGUUGGACUUCUCGUUCAAAGGUCAUGGGUUCGAAUCCCAACUGAGCUGGC